ensembl:lncRNA LINC01370 long intergenic non-protein coding RNA 1370
AGUGUGUGUUGUUCCCCUCUGUGUGUCCAUGUGUUCUCAUCAUUUAGCUCGCACUUAUAAAUGACAACAUGCAGUAUUUGGUUUUCUGUUCCUGCGUUAGUUUGCUAAGGAUAAUGGCCAUUAUCUUAGCCAUUUGAAAAUAAUGAUUUAACCUCUCUCACCUUCAUUGUCAUUUUAGAAGAAACUACCAUUUGGUGUCCUGCUGAGACAAGAAAAUAUUUUCACAACUCAAGACAAGUUAAAUAUCCACUUAUGGGAACAGUGCUGAAGGCCUGGACUAGGAUGGUAGCAAUGGAGACAGACUAAAGAUAUUUAUCAGUGCAUGAACGGACUAAUACAGAGGCAGAAGCACAUCUGCAGGCAGAAAUGGGGAAAAAAAUAAUAUCAGAAGAAAGGAUAAGAGGAAGAGCUUAAGAAUAAAAAGAGAUGCAAUCAUUCCCUUGCAUAUGGUCCGUAUGAAGACGGGAUCAUUACAGGAAAGGUGAAGGAGAUACAGUCAUUAUGCUCUAUAUACACCCAUUUUUAUGGCUAGCGGCUGAAGAUGGGAUGCUUUCUUUGCUGGAAGACCUAUUACCUGUUAGGUUGCAAAAGAUGUGAUCAUCUUCCUAAACAAUAAUUUAGAGUCCCAUAACAAUUUUAAGUGUGCUGUUCAUGAAAAUUUGAAUACAUUGUAUUGGGAAUAUAAUGGAAGUGAGAUGCCUCAUGUCGUGAGAAAAUCUGACAUAAACUCCUUAAGCAUGAGAGGCCAUGUGGGUAUGGAAGCCCUGAAAGGGAGGAAAAAACAGCCAGACCCUAGCUGUUCCAGUCAUCCCAACUGAGGUGCCAGACUUGUGAUUGAGGCCAUCUUGCAUCAUCUAGGCCUAGUAGAGCUGCCAACUGACUGCAGACACAUGAGUCAAUCCAGCUAAUGCCACAUGGAGCAGAGACAAGCCGCCCAGCUGAGCCCAGUCCAGAUGACAGAAUCAUGAGCAAAUAAGGUUGUUGUUCUUUUAAGCCACUAAAUUUUCGGGUGAUUUGUUACACAGUAAUAAAUAACUGAAACA